AGGACGAACGCUGGCGGCGUGCUUAACACAUGCAAGUCGAGCGGAAAGGCCCUUCGGGGUACUCGAGCGGCGAACGGGUGAGUAACACGUGAGCAAUCUGCCCUUAGCUUCUGGAUAGCCCCGGGAAACCGGGAUUAAUACCGAAUACGACCUCGGCCGACAUCGGCUUUGGUGGAAAGUUUUUCGGCUAGGGAUGAACUCGCGGCCUAUCAGCUUGUUGGUGGGGUAAUGGCCUACCAAGGCGACGACGGGUAGCCGGCCUGAGAGGGCGACCGGCCACACUGGGACUGAGACACGGCCCAGACUCCUACGGGAGGCAGCAGUGGGGAAUAUUGCGCAAUGGGCGAAAGCCUGACGCAGCGACGCCGCGUGGGGGAUGAAGGCCUUCGGGUUGUAAACCCCUUUCAGCAGGGACGAAGCGAGAGUGACGGUACCUGCAGAAGAAGCGCCGGCUAACUACGCGCCAGCAGCCGC
rnacentral:rRNA from 1 species